AGAGUUUGAUCCUGGCUCAGAUGAACGCUAGCGGGAGGCCUAACACUUGCAACCCGAGCGGUAUUGUUUCUUCCGAAAUGACAGAGCGGCGUACGGGUGCGGAACACGUGUGCAACCUGCCUUUAUCUGGGGGAUAGCCUUUCAAAAGGAAGAUUAAUACUCCAUAAUAUAUUGAACGGCAUCGUUUAAUAUUGAAAGCUCCGGCGGAUAGAGAUGGGCACGCGCAAGAUUAGCUAGUUGGUGAGGUAACGGCUCACCAAGGCAAUGAUCUUUAGGGGGCCUGAGAGGGUGAUCCCCCACACUGGUACUGAGACACGGACCAGACUCCUACGGGAAGCAGCAGUGAGGAAUAUUGGUCAAUGGGUGCAAGCCUGAACCAGCCAUCCCGCGUGAAGGACGACUGCCCUAUGGGUUGUAAACUUCUUUUGUAUAGGGAUAAACCUUCCCACGUGUGGGAAGCUGAAGGUACUAUACGAAUAAGCACCGGCUAACUCCGUGCCAGCAGCCGCGGUAAUACGGAGGGUGCAAGCGUUAUCCGGAUUUAUUGGGUUUAAAGGGUCCGUAGGCGGACUUAUAAGUCAGUGGUGAAAGCCUGUCGCUUAACGAUAGAACUGCCAUUGAUACUGUAAGUCUUGAGUAUAAUUGAGGUAGCUGGAAUAAGUAGUGUAGCGGUGAAAUGCAUAGAUAUUACUUAGAACACCAAUUGCGAAGGCAGGUUACCAAGUUAUAACUGACGCUGAGGGACGAAAGCGUGGGGAGCGAACAGGAUUAGAUACCCUGGUAGUCCACGCCGUAAACGAUGCUAACUCGUUUUUGGGGCGCAAGCUUCAGAGACCAAGCGAAAGUGAUAAGUUAGCCACCUGGGGAGUACGCUCGCAAGAGUGAAACUCAAAGGAAUUGACGG
rnacentral:rRNA from 1 species